rnacentral:rRNA from 1 species
AUUGAACGCUGGCGGCAGGCCUAACACAUGCAAGUCGAGCGAGCGGCGGACGGGUGAGUAAUGUCUGGGAAACUGCCUGAUGGAGGGGGAUCACUACUGGAAACGGUAGCUAAUACCGCAUACCAUCAGAUGUGCCCAGAUGGGAUUAGCUAGUAGGUGGGGUAACGGCUCACCUAGGCGACGAUCCCUAGCCGGUCUGAGAGGAUGACCAGCACGACUGGAGCUGGUACACGGUCCAGACUCCUACGGGAGGCAGCAGUUGGGAAUAUGGCAGAAUGGGGGCAAGCCUGAUGCAGCCAUGCCGAGUGUGUGAAGAAGGCCUUAUGGUUGUAAAGCACUUUAAGCGAGGAGGCGUUACUCGCAGAAUAAGCACCGGCUAACUCUGUGCCAGCAGCCGCGGUAAUAC